rnacentral:rRNA from 1 species
GACGAACGCUGGCGGCGUGCUUAACACAUGCAAGUCGAACGGAAAGGCCUGCUUUCCCUUGUGGAUUGCGGGUACUCGAGUGGCGAACGGGUGAGUAACACGUGAGUGAUCUGCCCCCAACUUGGGUAUAAGCCUGGGAAACUGGGUCUAAUUCCCGAUAGGACUGCAGGGUGGUGCCUGUUGUGGAAAACGAUUUUCUAGUGGUUGGGGAUGAGCUCGCGGCCUAUCAGCUUGUUGGUGGGGUAAUGGCCUACCAAGGCGGCGACGGGUAGCCGGCCUGAGAGGGUGGACGGGGACUGUGGGACUGAGAAGCGGCACAGAGACCGACGGGAGGCAGCAGUGGGGAAUAUUGGACGAUGGGGGGAAGCCUGAUGCAGCGACGCCGGGUGGGGGAUGACGGGCUGCGGGUAGUAAGCUGCUUUCGGCAGCGAGGAAGCCACCUGGUUGGGAGGGUGGUGACGGUAGUGGUAGAAGAAGCACCGGCUAACUACGUG